rnacentral:rRNA from 1 species
UACGUAGGGUGCGAGCGUUGCCCGGAUUUACUGGGCGUAAAGGGCGUGCAGGCGGCCUGUUAAGUGCAGGGUGAAAGCUCCCGGCUCAACUGGGAGAGGUCCUUGCAUACUGGCGGACUUGAGGGGGGUAGAGGAAAGUGGAAUUCCCGGUGUAGUGGUGAUAUGCGUAGAUAUCGGGAGGAACACCUGUGGCGAAGGCGGCUUUCUGGGCCCUACCUGACGCUGAGACGCGAAAGCGUGGGGAGCGAACCGG